GGAAAAUUCAGGAGAGAGCUACAGAGUACAGCAUCUUUCUACUCAGAAAUGUACAAGAUAGGCUGGGAGAAAUAGAGAGUUCCACUGCAGCCACCACUCCAAAACGUUUCACAAGAAAUCCCCCUCUCAUUCAUGAUUUGGAAAGCUAAGUCCAUUUGAAGAUGCUCUCCUCUGAGAUACUGAAGGGCACCAGAGCUGGAAGCUGAGGAUGAA
rnacentral:lncRNA from 1 species